GGUCGGGAUAGCUCAGUUG
rnacentral:tRNA from 1 species